GACGAACCGUGCGAACGUUAUUCGGAAUCACUGGGCUUAAAGCGCGUGUAGGCGGAUCGGCACGUCGGUCGCUGAAAUCCCCCGGCUCAACCGGGGAACGGGCGCCGAUACGACCGGUCUGGAGGAACGUAGGGGGACCGGGAACUUCCGGUGGAGCGGUGAAAUGCGUUGAGAUCGGAAGGAACGCCCGUGGCGAAAGCGCGGUCCUGGACGUUUGCUGACGCUGAGACGCGAAAGCCAGGGGAGCGAACGGG
rnacentral:rRNA from 1 species